rnacentral:rRNA from 1 species
UACAGAGGUCUCAACCGUUGUUCGGAUUUAUUGGGCGUAAAGGGUGCGUAGGCGGUCGCGUAAGUCGGAUGUGAAAUCGCUCGGCUCAACUGGGCGGGGUCAGCGGAUACGGCGUGGCUGGAGCAAGCUAGGGGGCAAUGGAAUUCCCGGUGUAGUGGUGGAAUGCGUAGAUAUCGGGAGGAACACCAGUGGCGAAGGCGGUUGCCUGGAGCUUUGCUGACGCUGAUGCGCGAAAGCGUGGGGAGCGAUCCGG